GGUGAUGUAGCUCAGUGGUAGAGCACUGCUCAGCCUGUGUUAAGCCCUAGGUUCAACCCCCAGCUUCACAG
rnacentral:tRNA from 1 species